GAUGAACGCUGGCGGCGUGCCUAAUACAUGCAAGUCGAGCGAACAGACGCGGCUCUUGUUCCUUUCACGUUUGCCGCGGACGUGUGUGUAACACGUGUAUAAUCCACCUAUAAUUCUGGGAUAUCUUCGGGAAACCGGCGCUAAUCCCGUAUAAUCUAUUGCACCGCAUGGUUCAAUAGUGAAAGUCGGUUUUUCUGUCACUUAUAGAUGGAUCCGCGCUGCAUUAGCUAGUUGGUAAGUUAACGGCCUAUUAAGGCAACGAUGCGUAGCCGAAGUGAGAGAGUGGUAGGCGACACGGGAAGUGGAACGGGGUCAAGAGGACUACGAGAGGCAGCAGAAGGGUAUCUGACGCAGAAGGCGAGAGCAUGACGGAGCAACGCCGCGUGAGUGAUGGAAGUCUUCGGAUCGUAAAAAUCUGUUAUGAGGGGAAAACAAAUGUGUAAGUAAAUAUGCACGUCGUGACGGUACCUAAUCAGGAAGCCACGGCUAACUACGUG
rnacentral:rRNA from 1 species